rnacentral:lncRNA from 1 species
CCCUCCAACCAGUACCCAGUAUGUUAAUCGUCUGUUCUCCUCCAGGCCAGUAGUGUUAAUCUGUCUGUUCUCCUCCAGGCCAGUACCCAGUAGUGUUAAUCUGUCUGUUCUCUCCUCCAGGCCAGUAGUGUUAAUCUGUCUGUUCUCUCCAGACCAGUACCCAGUAGUGUAAUCUGUCUGUUCUCCUCCAGAACAGUACCCAGUAGUGUUAAUCUGUCUGUUCUCCUCCAGACCAGUAGUGUUAAUCUGUCUGUUCUCCUCCAGGCCAGUAGUGUUAAUCUGUCUGUUCUCCUCCAGACCAGUACCCAGUAGUGUUAAUCUGUCUGUUUCUCCUCCAGACCAGUACCCAGUAGUGUUAAUCUGUCUGUUCUCCUCCAGACAGUACCCAGUAGUGUUAAUCUGUCUGUUCUCCUCCAGACCAGUAGUGUUUAAUCUGUCUGUUCUCCUCCAGACCAGUACCCAGU